AUUGAACGCUGGCGGCAGGCUUAACACAUGCAAGUCGAACGAGUGGCGGACGGGUGAGUAAUGCUUGGGAAUCUCGCUUAUGGAGGGGGAUAACUACUGGAAACUGUAGCUAAUCCCGCGUACCAUCGGAUGUGCCCACGUGGGAUUAGGUAGUUGGUGAGGUAAAGGCUCACCAAGCCGACGACCCCUAGCUGGUCUGAGAGGAUGACCAGCCACACUGGGACUGAGACACGGCCCAGACUCCUACGGGAGGCAGCAGUGGGGAAUAUUGAGCAAUGGGGGCAAGCUGAGGCAGCCAUGCCGCGGGAAUGAAGAAGGUCUUCGGGUUGGAAAGUUCUUUCGGUAGCGAGGCGUUAACCACAGAAGAAGCACCGGCUAACUCCGUGCCAGCAGCCGCGGUAAUAC
rnacentral:rRNA from 1 species